rnacentral:rRNA from 1 species
UGGGGAAUAUUGCACAAUGGGCGAAAGCCUGAUGCAGCAACGCCGCGUGAGUGAUGAAGGCCUUCGGGUUGUAAAGCUCUGUCUUUUGGGACGAUAAUGACGGUACCAAAGGAGGAAGCCACGGCUAACUACGUGCCAGCAGCCGCGGUAAUACGUAGGUGGCAAGCGUUGUCCGGAUUUACUGGGCGUAAAGGAUGCGUAGGCGGAUUUUUAAGUGAGAUGUGAAAUACCCGGGCUUAACUUGGGUGCUGCAUUUCAAACUGGGAAUCUAGAGUGCGGGAGAGGAGAAUGGAAUUCCUAGUGUAGCGGUGAAAUGCGUAGAGAUUAGGAAGAACACCAGUGGCGAAGGCGAUUCUCUGGACCGUAACUGACGCUGAGGCAUGAAAGCGUGGGUAGCAAACAGGAUUAGAUACCCCU